rnacentral:rRNA from 1 species
UACGUAGGGGGCAAGCGUUGUCCGGAUUUAUUGGGCGUAAAGAGCGUGUAGGCGGCCAGGUAGGUCAGCUGUGAAAACUCGAGGCUCAACCUCGAGACGUCGGUUGAAACCACCUGGCUAGAGUCCGGAAGAGGAGAGUGGAAUUCCUGGUGUGGCGGUGAAAUGCGCAGAUAUCAGGAAGAACACCCGUGGCGAAGGCGGCUCUCUGGGACGGUACUGACGCUGAGACGCGAAAGCGUGGGGAGCAAACAGG